AAACCGUUCAGGGGUAAACCUGUGAAACCCAAAAGAUCGAAUGAGGAGAUUCAUCGUCAGCGUAUUCAGUAUUAAUGCAGGCUAUGAUGUGAUAAUAGAAUCCUUGUGGUCACUAGAUUAUACUUGCUUGUAUUAUUUUUGCUGGGUAUGUCGGCGUGCACUUCUCCUCUAGUAGAACGUCGCAACCCGUUGGAUGUUUAUCUAUGGCCUGAUUUGUAGCCUUUGAUAUNUUAUUAUAUUGAAGACCUAUUGGUGUCCUGAUAAACUGUCUGACGGUACACANAUAAUAGUAUUGAGCCGCAAUUAUUUGCGUUAGACUUGCCGCAAGUAAGGCUUUAUUCUGGUAGUGCGGAUUUAAUGCCGUCGCUGGNAAAAAGUCUGCUGUUAGCUGUGUAAUGUCUUUAACUGGCUUAUUUACUGGUUAGCGAUGCUACUGCUUUGGGUACUUA
rnacentral:rRNA from 1 species